rnacentral:rRNA from 1 species
GACGUAGGGGACGAGCGUUGUCCGGAUUCAUUGGGCGUAAAGCGCGCGUAGGCGGUUCGGUAAGUCGGGUGUGAAAACACGAGGCUCAACCUCGUGCGUGCAUCCGAUACUGCCGGACUAGAGGUAGGUAGGGGAGAUCGGAAUUCCUGGUGUAGCGGUGAAAUGCGCAGAUAUCGGGAGGAACACCAAUGGCGAAGGCAGCUCGCUGGGACGUGGACUGACGCUGGAGACGCGAAAGCGUGGGGAGCAAACAGG